GAGAGUUUGAUCCUGGCUCAGGACGAACGCUGGCGGCGUGCCUAAUACAUGCAAGUCGAGCGGACAGAUGGGAGCUUGCUCCCUGAUGUUAGCGGCGGACGGGUGAGUAACACGUGGGUAACCUGCCUGUAAGACUGGGAUAACUCCGGGAAACCGGGGCUAAUACCGGAUGGUUGUUUGAACCGCAUGGUUCAAACAUAAAAGGUGGCUUCGGCUACCACUUACAGAUGGACCCGCGGCGCAUUAGCUAGUUGGUGAGGUAAUGGCCCACCAAGGCAACGAUGCGUAGCCGACCUGAGAGGGUGAUCGGCCACACUGGGACUGAGACACGGCCCAGACUCCUACGGGAGGCAGCAGUAGGGAAUCUUCCGCAAUGGACGAAAGUCUGACGGAGCAACGCCGCGUGAGUGAUGAAGGUUUUCGGAUCGUAAAGCUCUGUUGUUAGGGAAGAACAAGUACCGUUCGAAUAGGGCGGUACCUUGACGGUACCUAACCAGAAAGCCACGGCUAACUACGUGCCAGCAGCCGCGGUAAUACGUAGGUGGCAAGCGUUGUCCGGAAUUAUUGGGCGUAAAGGGCUCGCAGGCGGUUUCUUAAGUCUGAUGUGAAAGCCCCCGGCUCAACCGGGGAGGGUCAUUGGAAACUGGGGAACUUGAGUGCAGAAGAGGAGAGUGGAAUUCCACGUGUAGCGGUGAAAUGCGUAGAGAUGUGGAGGAACACCAGUGGCGAAGGCGACUCUCUGGUCUGUAACUGACGCUGAGGAGCGAAAGCGUGGGGAGCGAACAGGAUUAGAUACCCUGGUAGUCCACGCCGUAAACGAUGAGUGCUAAGUGUUAGGGGGUUUCCGCCCCUUAGUGCUGCAGCUAACGCAUUAAGCACUCCGCCUGGGGAGUACGGUCGCAAGACUGAAACUCAAAGGAAUUGACGGGGGC
rnacentral:rRNA from 1 species